rnacentral:rRNA from 1 species
UGCAAGUCGAGCGCUGAUUUCAGGGUAGCAAUAUUCUGAGGUCGGAGCGGCGCAAGGGUGCGUAACACGUGGGUAAUCUGCCAUGAAGUUCGGGAUAACUUGCUGAAAGGCGAGCUAAUACCGGAUGUGACAAUUGGGAGACAUCUUCUGAUUGCUAAAGUUGGGGACCGUAAGGCCUGACGCUUCUUGAUGAACCCGCGGCCUAUCAGCUAGUUGGUGAGGUAACGGCCCACCAAGGCUAAGACGGGUAGCUGGUCUGAGAGGACGACCAGCCACACUGGAACUGAGACACGGUCCAGACACCUACGGGUGGCAGCAGUCGAGAAUUUUUCACAAUGGGCGCAAGCCUGAUGGAGCGACGCCGCGUGGGGGAUGAAUGGCUUCGGCCCGUAAACCCCUGUCAUUUGCGAUCAAACCUCAUUAUUUAAAAGAUGAUGAGUUGAUAGUAGCGAAAGAGGAAGGGACGGCUAACUCUGUGCCAGCAGCCGCGGUAAUACAGAGGUCCCAAGCGUUGUUCGGAUUCACUGGGCGUAAAGGGUGCGUAGGUGGUGAGGUAAGUCGGAUGUGAAAGCUCGGAGCUCAACUCCGAAAUGGCAUUGGAAACUACCUUGCUCGAGGGUUGGAGGGGGGACUGGAAUACUUGGUGUAGCAGUGAAAUGCGUAGAUAUCAAGUGGAACACCAGUGGCGAAGGCGAGUCCCUGGACAACUCCUGACACUGAGGCACGAAAGCUAGGGGAGCAAACAGGAUUAGAUACCCUG